GGGCUUGUGGUCUAGCGGUUAUGACGCCACCUUCACAAGGUGGAAGUCCACGGUUCAAAUCCGGGCAGGCCCA
rnacentral:tRNA from 1 species